rnacentral:rRNA from 1 species
AAACUAACUAGGAUUCCCUUAGUAACGGCGAGUGAACCGGGAUGAGCUCAAAUUUGAAAUCUGGCGUCUUUCAGGCGUCCGAGUUGUAAUCUAUAGAGGCGUUUUCCGCGCCGGACCGCGUCCAAGUCUCUUGGAAUAGAGUAUCAAAGAGGGUGACAAUCCCGUACUUGACGCGACAACCGGUGCUCUGUGAUACGUUCUCAAUGAGUCGAGUUGUUUGGGAAUGCAGCUCUAAAUGGGUGGUAAAUUCCAUCUAAGGCUAAAUAUUGGCGAGAGACCGAUAGCGAACAAGUACCGUGAGGGAAAGAUGAAAAGCACUUUGGAAAGAGAGUUAAACAGCACGUGAAAUUGUUAAAAGGGAAACGAUUGAAGUCAGUCGUGUGGGAAGUAUUCAGCCGUCUUUGGCGGUGUAUUUGCUUCUCACGGGUCAACAUCAGUUUGAUCCGGUAGAAAAAGGCGGGAAGAAGGUGGCACCCUCGGGUGUGUUAUAGCUUCCUGUCAUAUGUGCCGGACCAGACUGAGGAACGCAGCUUGCAGCAAUGCCGGGGUUCGCCCACGUACAAGCUUAGGAUGUUGACAUAAUGGCUUUAAACGAC